GUCUAGCCAUACCAUUGAUAUACCACUAUGGUCUAGCCAUACCAUUGAUAUACCACUAUGGUCUAGCCAUACCAUUGAUAUACCACUACGGUCUAGCCAUACCAUUGAUAUACCACUACGGUCUAGCCAUACCAUUGAUAUACCACUACGGUCUAGCCAUACCAUUGAUAUACCACUACGGUCUAGCCAUACCAUUGAUAUACCACUACGGUCUAGCCAUACCAUUGAUAUACCACUAUGGUCUAGCCAUACCAUUGAUAUACCACUACGGUCUAGCCAUACCAUUGAUAUACCACUACGGUCUAGCCAUACCCUUGAUAUACCACUACGGUCUAGCCAUACCCUUGAUAUACCACUAUGGUCUAGCCAUACCAUUGAUAUACCACUAUGGUCUAGCCAUACCAUUGAUAUACCACUACGGUCUAGCCAUACCAUUGAUAUACCACUACGGUCUAGCCAUACCAUUGAUAUACCACUACGGUCUAGCCAUACCAUUGAUAUACCACUAUGGUCUAGCCAUACCUUUUGGUAACACUCAGCCAAUCUAAGUGGCCUGAAUCCUAAUUUGAGAUCCACAAGCAUAACUUGUGAUUUUUAAGCAAUCGCCUAGUGAAAAAUGUGUUUAUAAUUCUACCAAGUAUGACUGUUUUUAAUGAAUGAUGGACACAGAAAUAAGCAGUGUUCUUUACGCUAAUUGCACUAAGGUCCCCCUAUGGUUGUAUUUUUUUGUUUUGUGUGUGUUGUCGGUCAGUGAGCAGUGAUCGCUAGUCCUGCCUGAGGGUGAUCUUACCCUUCUGUUGCCUUGUCUUAUGUAACAUGACUUCAGUCUGUCACACCAUUUUAUAUAUAUAUAUAUAUGCCAUGGCGACUACUGUAGCCUGUUUAGAUUUUGACUGUCUUGACUUGGUGUCAUUGAUUCACAAAGCUUUACUAGCAUCACUCACUCCCUGUUUGUGGUUAUGGAAGAGGUCGUAAGAUAUUAAAAACACACUUAACACCUUACCCCCUCCAUACAGAAACGAGUGUCCAAGUACCUUCCUCUGCCAGUAAGCACACACAACCAGGGGAUGCAGGUUUGUACUCCACAGUGUGGUCAGAAUAUCAACUCAAUAAAUGGGUUUGGGAGAAAAUUGUAUAGUGCUUUUAGUAUUUAUUUUCUAUUACCCCAUAAAUGUUGUUGUAAAACUUUUUAUCUAGUGCCACGGCCUUACAAAAAACACUUUGGAAGAUUUUAGUCUUACAGUUUGCCACCAGAUGGUGCCAUUGUAAUCUGAGUGACAUUGUUCAUCAGGUGUUAUACAUCUUAUCUGCAUGAAAUGGAAGAAGCUACGACAAAUGACUGUAACCAACAUUAUGAUCAGUUGCAGCACAACAUCCCUCAAAUCAUUCUAAAGCACCGACUAUGGUAUGUCCACAUGGAGUAUAGGCCUACUGCGAUGCACCUUCCACAUGUUCAGUCAGGAGCACCCUUGGCAUGAUUAGCUUUUCUGCACCAGAUGGAAUCCACAUGGUUAAUCCUAGCGCGAGCGGCGAUGGGUGGAUAGACCCAGAGGAAAAGAAAGGAAACUGAGGCACUCAGACUUCCAAUGGAAGAUGGCGAGAACCAAGGCUUCCAAAAAGGUAUCAAAGCCUGGAGGGCUGCUACUAUUGUCCCAACGUAAUUGGAUUUUGUCUGGGAGAAGGAAGUCUCAUUUUACCAGUCUGAGGCUCCACAUGGAUCACUUGCCACUGAAAGAGCAGGGUUGUUAGCUGCGAAUGGGAACAGUGGUUACUAUUUUUAAAACCUGGCUGGAUGGAUGGGACAACAUAGAUCAAGAAGCCCCACAUAAGCUAUCAACUCUGAAGGAGUAAACACAUUAGCUGGUAUUGAACCAGUCAGUCUUAAAGAGAACUUCUAAAAAGGUCAAUAUAGUCACAAGGCCCACACCAGUAAGAGACUACCAUAGAGAUGGCCAUCUCUGCACUGUAGGAAGCCUGAUGUUCUUAGGCUUGGUUUUAUUUUUUACAUUCGGCAUCACUACGUCGAGAUAAAUAUAGUAUUCUUUCUAACAAAGAUAUCUAAAUGUAUUUCAGGAUGUGUAUCCCUGGAAAUAAUCAGAAUUCAUGUACACAAGCUUUGAAAACAUCGCUUCUUCAAAAAAAAAGUUGUCUCAGUGCAACUUAGGUAAAUUGAGGUGCCUUGGGGUAAGUGGGUGCUGAUAUCAUGUGCUGGUGCUGGUAGGUCAAAGUUGAAUUCAUGGAAAAGGGGUGUGGUAUACUGUAUAUCUUAACUGUAUGCCUACAUUCAGAUAAAGAUCUCAGUUCAAUAUCA